UCUCUGAUAAGUAGAUUUUAAUGAUCUAUUCUUUUCUUUGUUCUGUAUAUAGGCGGCAAUACAAUUCGAAUACCUCGAAGACAGGAGUGAUUCUACUCAUCAUCAAUAUUAUCAUAAUAAACACCCCUAUUCCAAUAACAGCAUUCGAUAAUGCCUCCAAGGCAUAGAAGCCGUCAAAGACUUCUGAUACACCAAGUUUCACACCAGUUUAUUCAUUGUAAUCAGAACAUUUACAUUUUGUACAAACCAAACCCUUUAUACAAAAUAUUAUGGAAUACAAUGUAAACAAAUGAAAUCCCGCAGCAAAGCGCGGGCAAAUCUUUCUAGU